AGAGUUUGAUCAUGGCUCAGGACGAACGCUGGCGGCGUGCCUAAUACAUGCAAGUCGAGCGGAUGCUUCGGCAUCAGCGGCGGACGGGUGAGUAACACGUGGGUAACCUGCCGUCAAGACGGGUAUAACGCCUGGAAACGGGUGCUAAUCCCCGAUAGGUUCCUGGAUCGCAUGGUCUGGGAAGGAAAGGCGCGUUUGCG
rnacentral:rRNA from 1 species